UAGGGAAUCUUCCACAAUGGGCGCAAGCCUGAUGGAGCAACACCGCGUGAGUGAAGAAGGGUUUCGGCUCGUAAAACUCUGUUGUUGGAGAAGAACGUGCGUAAGAGUAACUGUUUACGCAGUGACGGUAUCCAACCAGAAAGUCACGGCUAACUACGUGCCAGCAGCCGCGGUAAUACGUAGGUGGCAAGCGUUAUCCGGAUUUAUUGGGCGUAAAGCGAGCGCAGGCGGUUGCUUAGGUCUGAUGUGAAAGCCUUCGGCUUAACCGAAGAAGUGCAUCGGAAACCGGGCGACUUGAGUGCAGAAGAGGACAGUGGAACUCCAUGUGUAGCGGUGGAAUGCGUAGAUAUAUGGAAGAACACCAGUGGCGAAGGCGGCUGUCUGGUCUGCAACUGACGCUGAGGCUCGAAAGCAUGGGUAGCGAACAGGAUUAGAUACCCUGGUAGUCCAUGCCGUAAACGAUGAGUGCUAGGUGUUGGAGGGUUUCCGCCCUUCAGUGCCGAAGCUAACGCAUUAAGCACUCCGCCUGGGGAGUACGACCGCAAGGUUG
rnacentral:rRNA from 1 species